UACGUAGGUGGCAAGCGUUGUCCGGAUUUAUUGGGUUUAAAGGGUGCGUAGGCGGCUUUGUAAGUCAGUGGUGAAAUAUAGCAGCUCAACUGUCAGGGUGCCAUUGAUACUGCGGAGCUUGAGUACAGAUGAGGUAGGCGGAAUUGACGGUGUAGCGGUGAAAUGCUUAGAUAUCGUCAAGAACACCGAUAGCGAAGGCAGCUUACUGGGCUGUAACUGACGCUGAGGCACGAAAGUGUGGGGAUCAAACAGG
rnacentral:rRNA from 1 species